UACGGGGGGAGCAAGCGUUGUUCGGAUUUACUGGGCGUAAAGAGCUCGUAGGCGGCUCGUUGCGUCGGCUGUGAAAACCCGCGGCUCAACUGUGGGCUUGCAGUCGAUACGGGCAGGCUGGAGUUCGGUAGGGGAGACUGGAAUUCCUGGUGUAGCGGUGAAAUGCGCAGAUAUCAGGAGGAACACCGGUGGCGAAGGCGGGUCUCUGGGCCGAUACUGACGCUGAGGAGCGAAAGCGUGGGGAGCGAACAGG
rnacentral:rRNA from 1 species